rnacentral:rRNA from 1 species
CCCUUAGAUGUUCUGGGCCGCACGCGCGCUACACUGAUGCAUGCAACGAGUUCUAUCCUUGGCCGGAAGGCCUGGGUAAUCUGUGAACGUGCAUCGUGAUAGGGAUAGAUUAUUGCAAUUAUUAAUCUUGAACGAGGAAUUCCUAGUAAACGCAAGUCAUCAGCUUGCAUUGAUUACGUCCCUGCCCUUUGUACACACCGCCCGUCGCACCUACCGAUUGAAUGGUCCGGUGAAAUCUCCGGACUGGCGUGAGUCGGAGCAAUCUGACAAACACCGGAAAGUUGAUUAAACCUUACCAUUUAGAGGAAGGUGAAGUCGUAACA